AAUUAAUACAUGAUGAAUUCAUAGUUCAAAUGAAUCGAAGUGAUUACAAAUUUUUAUUUUGUCUUUCGCUCCUAUCUGAUAAAAUUU